rnacentral:rRNA from 1 species
UGCGCAGGCGGCCGUGUGUGUCAGAUGUGAAAUACCGGGGCUCAACCCCGGAACUGCGUCUGAAACUACAUGGCUAGAGUAUUGGAGAGGGUAGUGGAAUUCACGGUGUAGCAGUGAAAUGCGUAGAUAUCGUGAGGAACACCAGAGGCGAAGGCGACUACCUGGACAAUUACUGACGCUCAGGCACGAAAGCGUGGGGAGCAAAAGGGAUUAGAUACCCCUGUAGUCCACGCCCUAAACGGUGCACACUAGGUCUUGGCGGAUUCGACCCCACCAGGGCCCAAGCUAACGCGUUAAGUGUGCCGCCUGAGGACUACGGCCGCAAGGCUAAA